rnacentral:rRNA from 1 species
AACGAGCGCUGGCGGCAUGCCUAACACAUGCAAGUCGAACGAGACCUUCGGGUCUAGUGGCGCACGGGUGCGUAACGCGUGGGAACCUGCCCUUAGGUUCGGAAUAACUCCCCGAAAGGGGUGCUAAUACCGGAUAAUGUCUUCGGACCAAAGAUUUAUCGCCUUUGGAUGGGCCCGCGUUGGAUUAGCUAGUUGGUAGGGUAAAAGCCUACCAAGGCGACGAUCCAUAGCUGGUCUGAGAGGAUGAUCAGCCACACUGGGACUGAGACACGGCCCAGACUCCUACGGGAGGCAGCAGUGGGGAAUAUUGGACAAUGGGCGAAAGCCUGAUCCAGCAAUGCCGCGUGAGUGAUGAAGGCAUUAGGGUUGUAAAGCUCUUUUAACCGGGAUGAUAAUGACAGUACCGGGAGAAUAAGCUCCGGCUAACUCCGUG